UUUAGUUCAAAAUGAACAGACACUGGAGACAUACACCAUGAAAUGGGACAUCUGGCCUCAUCCCUAACCUGGAACUCCCCCUUCCUGUCCACUAGAAUACAUAGCUAGACAAAUCUUAAGCUGGUCUCUGUGUGCGUGUCACUUGCCAAUUCCUUCCACAACAGUAAGACAAUCCGACUGUCCAUUCAACCACUGGACAUGAGCCCCAUUCCACUUGGCUGAAUCCUCAGCAAAAAUGAAACUACCUCCCAGUGCACAGAGCACAGAAGCCCCCAAAACCUGAUGUGGAAUGAAAGAUGUCAAAGAGUCCACAUCUCCACUCCAUGCCUGUGGAAUUCCAGAG
rnacentral:lncRNA from 1 species